GUUGGUGUUGUCUGUACUGUCAUGGUGGUUUCAGAGAGGGUUAGUUGGUGUUGUCUGUACUGUCAUGGUGGUUUCAGAGAGGGUUAGUUGGUAUUGUCUGUACUGUCAUGGUGGUUUCAGAGAGGGUUAGAUGGUGGUUGUCUGGGGUUGGUAGAUGAGGUGAGAUUAGCUUGGCGUCUGUGAACUGUAGUGUUAUUGUUCUAAGAUUGUAGAGUGGCGUGAUGGAUGGAUGGAUGGAUGGAUGGAUAGGUGGUGGGAGUACAUUAUUAGAAGGAUUCCACAGGUUGUUGUGGUAGAUAAGAUGUAUCAGUCACUGUCUGACAGUGGAUAGGAUGUUUGCUGUAGUGUUGUUAGUGGAGGUUAGGACUAGUAACAGGGAUGUUGUAGUGUUUGUGGAGGUUAGGACUAGUAACAGGGAUGUUGUAGUGUUAGUGGAGGUUAGGACUAGUAACAGGGAUGUUGUAGUGUUGGUGGAGGUUAGGACUAGUAACAGGGAUGUUGUAGUGUUGGUGGAGGUUAGGACUAGUAACAGGGAUGUUGUAGUGUUGGUGGAGGUUAGGACUAGUAACAGGGAUGUUGUAGUGUUAGUGGAGGUUAGGACUAGUAACAGGGAUGUUGUAGUGUUUGUGGAGGUUAGGACUAGUAACAGGGAUGUUGUAGUGUUUGGAGGUUAGGACUAGUAACAAGGAUGUUGUAGUGUUUGUGGAGGUUAGGACUAGUAACAGGGAUGUUGUAGUGUUGGUGGAGGUUAGGACUAGUAACAGGGAUGUUGUAGUGUUUGUGGAGGUUAGGACUAGUAACAGGGAUGUUGUGGUGUUUGUGGAGGUUAGGACUAGUAACAGGGAUGUUGUAGUGUUAGUGGAGGUUAGGAUUAGUAACAGGGAUGUUGUGGAGGUUAGGACUAGUAACAGGGAUGUUGUAGUGUUUGUGGAGGUUAGGACUAGUAACAGGGAUGUUGUAGUGUUAGUGGAGGUUAGGAUUAGUAACAGGGAUGUUGUGGAGGUUAGGACUAGUAACAGGGAUGUUGUAGUGUUUGUGGAGGUUAGGACUAGUAACAGGGAUGUUGUAGUGUUUGUGGAGGGUAGGACUAGUAACAGGGAUGUUGUAGUGUUGGUGGAGGUUAGGACUAGUAACAGGGAUGUUGUAGUGUUGGUGGAGGUUAGGACUAGUAACAGGGAUGUUGUGGAGGUUAGGACUAGUAACGGGGAUGUUGUGGUGUUGGUGGAGGUUAGGACUAGUAACGGGGAUGUUGUAGUGUUAGUGGAGGUUAGGACUAGUAACGGGGAUGUUGUGGUGUUAGUGGAGGUUAGGACUAGUAACGGGGAUGUUGUGGUGUUGGUGGAGGUUAGGACUAGUAACAGGGAUGUUGUAGUGUUUGGAGGUUAGGACUAGUAACAGGGAUGUUGUAGUGUUAGUGGAGGUUAGGACUAGUGACAGGGAUGUUGUGGUGUUAGUGGAGGUUAGGACUAGUGACAGGGAUGUUGUGGUGUUAGUGGAGGUUAGGACUAGUGACAGGGAUGUUGUAGUGUUAGUGGAGGUUAGGACUAGUAACAGGGAUGUUGUAGUGUUAGUGGAGGUUAGGACUAGUAACAGGGAUGUUGUAGUGUUAGUGGAGGUUAGGACUAGUAACAUGGAUGUUGUGGAGGUUAGUGGAGGUUAGGACUAGUAACAGGGAUGUUGUAGUGUUUGGAGGUUAGGACUAGUAACAGGGAUGUUGUAGUGUUGGUGGAGGUUAGGACUAGUAACAGGGAUGUUGUAGUGUUUGUGGAGGUCAGGACUAGUAACAGGGAUGUUGUAGUGUUAGUGGAGGUUAGGACUAGUAACAGGGAUGUUGUAGUGUUUGUGGAGGUUAGGACUAGUAACAGGGAUGUUGUAGUGUUAGUGGAGGUUAGGACUAGUAACAGGGAUGUUGUAGUGUUAGUGGAG
rnacentral:lncRNA from 1 species